UACGGAGGAUCCAAGCGUUAUCCGGAUUUAUUGGGUUUAAAGGGUGCGUAGGUGGUUCAUUAAGUCAGGGGUGAAAGACGGCAGCUUAACUGUCACAGUGCCUUUGAUACUGAUGAACUUGAAUGAACUAGAGGUAGGCGGAAUGUGACAAGUAGCGGUGAAAUGCAUAGAUAUGUCACAGAACACCAAUUGCGAAGGCAGCUUACUAUGGUUUGAUUGACACUGAGGCACGAAAGCGUGGGGAUCAAACAGG
rnacentral:rRNA from 1 species